GACGAACCGUGCGAACGUUAUUCGGAAUCACUGGCUUAAAGCGCGUGUAGGCGGGAAGGCACGUCGGUCGUUGAAAUCCCCCGGCUCAACCGGGGAAGUGGCGCCGAUACGACCUUCCUGGAGGGACGUAGGGGGACCUGGAACUUCCGGUGGAGCGGUGAAAUGCGUUGAGAUCGGAAGGAACGCCCGUGGCGAAAGCGAGGUCCUGGACGUUUUCUGACGCUGAGACGCGAAAGCCAGGGGAGCAAACGGG
rnacentral:rRNA from 1 species